CCCUACGGGGCGCAGCAGUGAGGAAUAUUGGUCAAUGGCCGAGAGGCUGAACCAGCCAAGUCGCGUGAGGGAUGACGGCCCUACGGGUUGUAAACCUCUUUUGUCGGGGAGCAAGACCCGCCUCGUGCAGGCGGAGCGAGAGUACCCGAAGAAAAAGCAUCGGCUAACUCCGUGCCAGCAGCCGCGGUAAUACGGAGGAUGCGAGCGUUAUCCGGAUUCAUUGGGUUUAAAGGGUGCGCAGGCGGGCCUUUAAGCCGGCGGUGAAAUCGCGGGGCUCAACCCCGCCGAGCCGUCGGAACUGGGGG
rnacentral:rRNA from 1 species